rnacentral:lncRNA from 1 species
AUGCAGUGCAAAACCCCCUUGUGCAAGGCUGUGCAAGGUCCUCGUGCAAGGAGGCGCGAGGUCCUCGCGCAAGGAGGUGCAAGGUCCCUGUGCAAGGCAGUGCCAAGCCCCCCCCGUGCGAGGCAGUGCCGAGCACCCCGUGCAAGCUCCCCGUACAAGCUCCUUGUGCAAGGCCCUCGUGUGAGGUUCCUCGUGCAAGGUCCUCGUGCAAAACAGCACAACCACUUGUGCCAAACACCCCAAAACUCCUUCACACCAGUCCUCGUGGAACCACACCUUGUGCAAGCAACAUCCCCACGCAGGAUGUCACGAAGCUCCCCGUGCAAGCUCCCCAUGCAAAAUCCUCGUGCAAGACCCUCGUGCGAGGUUCCUAGCGCAAGAUCCUCGUGCAAAACAGCACAAGCCUUAAGCCGAGCGACACAAAACCCCUUUACACCGCGCAUCGUGGCAGCAGGAUGCCACGACGCUGCUUGUGCGAGCUCCCCGUGCAAGCUCCCCGUGCAAAAUCCUCGUGCAAGACCCUCGUGCGAGGUUCCUCGUGCAAGAUCCUCGUGCAAACCAGCCCAACCACUUAUGCCAAGCAACACAACCCCCCCAGCUUCACACCACACCACGCUCUCCCCGAGCAUCAUCACCGCCGCCGUGCAGGGGGGCGCACUGCAGCGCCCCGUGCAAAGCCCUCGUGCGAGCUCCCCAUGCAAAAUCCUCGUGCAAGACCCCCGUGCAAAACAGCCCAACCACUUGUGCCAAGCAACACAACCCCGCCUUCACACCACGCCAUGCGCUCCCCGCGCGCCAUUGCCGCCGCUGCGCAAAGCCCUCGUGCAAGCUCCCCGUGCAAAAUCCUCGUGCAAGACCCUCGUGCGAGGUUCCUCGUGCAAGAUCCUUGUGCAAACCAGCCCAACCGCUUACGCCAGGCAACACAACCCCGCCUUCACACCACGCCACGCGCUCCCCGCGCGCCGUCGCCGCCGCCCCGCAGAGCCCUCGUGCGAGCUCCCCGUGCAAAAUCUUCGUGCGAGACCCUCGUGCGAGCCCCCUGAUGAGCUCACCGUGCGCGAGGAGGCGGGGGCCGAGGGGCUGGUGAGCGACACCAUCUCCUGGAUGGCCAGGCGCAGCUUGAGGCGGUGCAGGGGGUUGCUGAUGCCCAGCUCGCGCUGGAUCUCCGUGUCCGACAGGUUGGCCAUCACCGCCCCGCUGCGCACGUUGGCCCGGCAGGCGGCCACGUACCAGGCCGGCAUCCCCACCCACAGCUGGCGGGGGGGGCGGGGGGGUCAGUGCCGUGAUGCCUGA